rnacentral:rRNA from 1 species
GUGCUCAACACCGGGCAUUUGAAGGGAAGCAGGAGGAGCGUCAGGCGCGAAGCGCAUGAGGCGAGGAAAGCCUGCUGACAGGACAAACGCCGGGUGUUGAGCAUGGUGAGAGUGGCGGACGGGCGAGUAACGCGUGAGCAACCUGCCCUAUGCAGGGGGAUAACAUCGGGAAACCGGUGCUAAUACCGCAUAAGACCACGAUAUCGCAUGGUAACGUGGUAAAAGCUGAGGCGGCAUAGGAUGGGCUCGCGUCCAAUUAGCUAGUUGGUGAGGUAAUGGCCCACCAAGGCGACGAUUGGUAGCCGAACUGAGAGGUUGGUCGGCCGCAUUGGGACUGAGACACGGCCCAGACUCCUACGGGAGGCAGCAGUGGGGAAUAUUGCGCAAUGGGGGAAACCCUGACGCAGCGACGCCGCGUGAAGGAAGAAGGCUUUCGGGUUGUAAACUUCUUUGAUCGGGGACGAAGAUGACGGUACCCGAGGAACAAGCCACGGCUAACUACGUG